rnacentral:rRNA from 1 species
AAACUAACUAGGAUGCCUUCAGUAACGGCGAGCGAAGCAGGCAUAGCUCAAAUUUGUAAUCUGGCACCUCUGGUGUCCGAGUUGUAUUUUCUAGAAGCGAGUUCGGCGACAGCUCCUGCCAAAGUCCGUUGGAACGCGGCAUCAUGGAGGGUGAGAAUCCCGUGAAUGGUAGGAUGUCUGCUGCUAUGUGAACCGCCUUCGAAGAGUCGAGUUGUUUGGGAAUGCAGCUCUAAUUGGGAGGUAAAUUUCUUCUAAAGCUAAAUAUUGGCCAGAGACCGAUAGCGAACAAGUAGAGUGAUCGAAAGAUGAAAAGAACUUUGAAAAGAGAGUUAAACAGUACGUGAAAUUGUUGAAAGGGAAGCGCUUGAGAUCAGACUUCCUGUCUGGACUGUCCUUGCUUAUGCUUGGGUCAACAGUCCAGGCGUGGAGGCCAGCAUCAGUUUUGACGGCCGGAUAAAGGCCUUGGAAAGGUAGCUCCCCUCGGGGAGUGUUAUAGUCCAGGGUGCAAUACGGCCAGUUGGGACUGAGGACCGCGGCUCUGCCUAGGAUGCUGGCGUAAUGGUCUUAAGCGAC